rnacentral:rRNA from 1 species
GACGAACGCUGGCGGUAUGCUUAACACAUGCAAGUCGAACGAGACGGGAUGGAAGGAGCCUUCGGGUGACGGAAAUCCUAGAAAGUGGCGAACGGGUGAGUAACGCGUGGGUAACCUGCCCUGUGGAAAGGAAUAGCCUCGGGAAACUGGGAGUAAUGCCUUAUAAUAUAUCGAAGUCGCAUGGCUUUGAUAUUAAACGCUCCGGUGCCAUAGGAUGGACCCGCGUCCCAUUAGCUAGUUGGUGAGAUAACAGCCCACCAAGGCGACGAUGGGUAACCGGUCUGAGAGGGCGAACGGUCACACUGGAACUGAGACACGGUCCAGACUCCUACGGGAGGAAGCAGUGGGGAAUAUUGCGCAAUGGGGGCAACCCUGACGCAGCAAUACCGCGUGAGUGAAGAAGGUUUUCGGAUCGUAAAGCUCUGUUAUUGGGGAAGAAAAAAGACGGUACCCAAGAAGAAAGUCCCGGCUAACUACGUGCCAGCAGCCGCAGUAAAAC